AGGCCCGUAUCCGUAUCCAUAUGUGAGAUCUGACAUUGAAAAGCGGGCUUCAUCCGAACAUGGAAUUCAGUUGAAAAGUGAACCAAACGGGUGCCCGGACUUUGCUGCCUGCAACUAGAGGUGCAAAAGCUUUGGCUCGUAUGGAAAAUGCGGAGAAGUGGAGCAAAUGACCUGC